UGAAUAAAAUUUUAUUCUGAAGACCAGUACAAAGUGAGGUCUUCCAUGUUCGGUUUUGACACCCUUCACCUCCAGUCUUGACGUCAUUUCAUUCCAAAAAUACGCAAAUACUGUAAUGGUCAAUAUGUUACAGAGUUAUUGGGCUAAAUCUUUUAUCAGAGAACCGUCAGAAAAUUUUCUCAGAAACUGGGACCAUACCGUUGCGCCCCGGUUCCUCUAAUUACAUGAUUUUAUCGUAUGUAAACACAACGGAUUACGGAUGACGUGCUUAUAAGCAAUUUACUUCUGAGGAUUGCAGGAAGCUCGAGCUUUCAAAAUUUUAGCAAAAAAACUAUUCCGCGACGUCUCAAUAGCCUGAAGAAUUUUCAGUUUCAAGCAAUAGCAGUUGAAGUAAAGCAUUUAAAUUAGUACUACCGAUUUUUAUAUGUCCACUGCUGAGUAUAGGACCCGCAAAUUUUGCCACUCUGUUCUGUUGUGCGCAGUCGGCUGUGGUUAAUGUCCUCUGUCCAUCUAGUUGGUGGUCCUCCUCUGCUUCUAUAAGCCUCUUGUGACCUCCACUGGAUUAUUUUCUUGGUUCAUAUACGAUUACUUUAUUUACAGAUUUCUCGCUACACAAUUUAAAAUUGUAGAAACAGGAAGGCCUGUUUACAUUUCAAUCCCCAAAGAAUGUACACAGUUUUCUGAUUAUAUAUUCACAGUUGCCACUCUGUAACUUGAUGUGAAAUCCUUAGAGGCCAUUGAGGUAUUUACAGAGGCAAGUACAUAGUCAGGAGCACCACAUGCAAACGAAACAACUCGCUAAUUCACUCAUCGUAUUGGGUAAAUAAUAGAUUUUUGGCUGGAGGUAAAAAAUCUUAGAGAUGGCUACUAGGCCGCCGAUUGAAGGCGCGCUAGUAGUGUCAGUUUCACCUCCUUCAGGAGGCUGCCUGCCUGAUUUCUUUUAGUGCCGCAUGUCUCAGAGCCAGCGAUCUUCAUGUUCUUGUUGUGCGGUUU